rnacentral:rRNA from 1 species
AGCAGCCGCGGUAAUUCCAGCUCCAAUAGCGUAUAUUAAAGUUGUUGCAGUUAAAAAGCUCGUAGUUGAAUUUCGGGGUUAGUAGAUUGGUCGUGCCACUGGUAUGUACUGGCUUUACUGAUCCCUCCUUCUUGUAGAACCGUAAUGCCAUUAAUUUGGUGUUGCGGGGAAACAGGACUGUUACUUUGAAAAAUUAGAGUGUUUAAAGCAGGCUAACGCUUGAAUACAUUAGCAUGGAAUAAUGAAAUAGGACGGUCGAUCCUAUUUUGUUGGUUUCUAGGAUUGACGUAAUGAUUAAUAGGGAUAGUUGGGGGCAUUAGUAUUCAAUUGUCAGAGGUGAAAUUCUUGGAUUUAUUGAAGACUAACUACUGCGAAAGCAUUUGCCAAGGAUGUUUUCAUUAAUCAAGAACGAAAGUUAGGGGAUCGAAGACGAUCAGAUACCGUCGUAGU